AAACUUACCUGGAUGGAGUCAAUGGGAGAUCAAGAAUGCUCAUGGUCUAGGCUGGUGACUUCCAUUGCACUCCGGAGGGGUGCCUGCCUAAGGUCGAUCCAAGUGGUCGAGUCUACGUCAUAAUUUAUGGCAGAGGGGGCCUCUA
rnacentral:snRNA from 1 species